rnacentral:sRNA from 1 species
UGAUGCUUUGCCUGAGUUCUCUUUGAAUAAUGAGGGCAGCUUCAGUCACUACCUCUUCUGAGA